rnacentral:rRNA from 1 species
UACGUAGGUGGCAAGCGUUAUCCGGAUUUAUUGGGCGUAAAGCGCGCGUAGGCGGUUUUUUAAGUCUGAUGUGAAAGCCCACGGCUCAACCGUGGAGGGUCAUUGGAAACUGGAAAACUUGAGUGCAGAAGAGGAAAGUGGAAUUCCAUGUGUAGCGGUGAAAUGCGCAGAGAUAUGGAGGAACACCAGUGGCGAAGGCGCCUUUCUGGUCUGUAACUGACGCUGAUGUGCGAAAGCGUGGGGAUCAAACAGG